ACCCCCAGAAGGGCCAGUGACACCCAAACCCCCGGUUGAGGAAAAGCCAACAAAGCCAGCUCCUGAAGAGAGUGGCGCUCCUCCUCAAGAACCAACUGGAGCGAAGGACAAGACACCCCCACCUCCAACCUCUGGCAACAAGGAGCCAAGAAACGACACCCCCUGAAGGGCCAGUGACACCGAAACCCCCGGUUGAGGAAAAGCCAACAAAGC